CAAAAACAUCGCCUCUUGCUCAACAUAAGAGGUCCAGCCUGCCCGGUGACAAAGUUUAACGGCCGCGGUAACCUAACCGCGCGAAGGUAGCAUAAUCACUUGUUCUUUAAAUAGGGACUAGUAUCAACGGCAUCACGAGGGUUGCACUGUCUCCUCCUUCCAAUCAGUGAAAUUGAUCUUCCCGUGAAAAAGCGGGAAUACAAAUAUAAGACGAGAAGACCCCAUGGAGCUUUAAACCCAACAGCAACUCAGUCACAUAAUUCCUCAUAAUCCACAGAGAAAUGCACGUCGGUUUUAGGUUGGGGUGACCGCGGAGUAAAAAUUAACCUCCACGACGAAAAGAAUAAAAUCCUUAUCUAAGAAUUACCCUUCUAAGAAUUAAUAUAUUAACGAACAAUGACCCAAUAAUUGAUCAACGAAACAAGUUACCCUGGGGAUAACAGCGCAAUCUACUUCAAGAGCCCAUAUCGACAAGUAGGCUUACGACCUCGAUGUUGGAUCAGGAUAUCCCAGUGGUGCAGCCGCUACUAAAGGUUCGUUUGUUCAACGAUUAAAACCCUACGUGAUCU
rnacentral:rRNA from 1 species